CCGCUAGGGGGCGGGUUGGGCGCCAAAGGAAAGUGCGGGCGGAGCGGGGGGGUUCCGAGCGAAGCGGGACGGAGAUAGGGGUUGGGUGGGGAGGUGGCAGGAGAUGGCUGUAGGGGAGGGUUCCCCCAGGGGGCGCUAUGGGCUGGGAGUGGCUCCUUAGUAGCACCCCCUAUGGGAUGGCAGGUGGAUCCUAUGGGGGGUAAAAUGGAUGGGGGCUUGGCAGGGGAAUGGCUGUGUGGGAGGGUUCCCACAGGAGGCGUUAUGAGAUGGAGUUGUAGGGGGAUGGCACUAUGGGAGGGUUCCUGUGGGGGACACAAUGGGUGGGAGCUUGGCAAGGGGAUGGCUGUAUGGGAGGGUUCUUGUGGGGGGCACAAGGGCGGGGGCUGUAUGGGAGGGUUCCCAUAGGGGACACUAUGGGGCAGGGGAAUGGCUGUAUGGGAGGGUUCCUGUGGGGGACACAAUGGGUGGGAGCUUGGCAAGGGGAUGGCUGUAUGGGAGGGUUCUUGUGGGGGGGCACAAGGGCGGGGGCUGUAUGGGAGGGUUCCCAUAGGGGACACUAUGGGGCAGGGGAAUGGCUGUAUGGGAGGGCUCCCACAGGGGGAACUAAGGGGGGGGAUGUGGCAAUAAUAAGCAGGCAGGAGCACUCCUGGGUAUUAUAUCCUGUUAGAAGUAAACUGAAUGUUUGACAAAAAUGGGGCACAUUAAAGGCACUUGACUGCCUCAGUUACUACUAAAACCUAGCAGUGAACUGAAGAAUGUGACUAGAGUGCUAACAUUGGUUCCUGGGAGCAAAUGAUUUGCUGCAUCUUUCUUUUGGAUAGCUUCAAGCUGCAAGCUGGCUGUCGAACUCAGGCCAUCACCUGAUGAAUGAUGCGUUUGUUCUUUUUCUCUGGGCUGAAGGACAGGCAGAACUGGAUUAUUGACAUGGCUGUGCAGAGCAUUACUACUGGGGAUGUACACUGUUGUUGUUUUAACUAUUAUACAAAUAAUUCAUUCUAGUAACCAAGAUGAAAGGGAUUUAAGAGGGUAAAUCUUCAUUAAUGUGCACAGAGAGAUAAAUGCGAAACUCUAUUAUUGGGGACAUGGCUAGCCUGAAAGCCAUAUAUUGUAAACAAGUAUUUCUGUACCUAUUUAUGACUCUGUCACAGUCUGUGCAUCUUUU